rnacentral:rRNA from 1 species
CCCGCUCAGAAACUUAAAGGAAUUGACGGGGGCCCGCACAAGCGGAGGAACAUGUGGUUUAAUUCGAUGAUACGCGAGGAACCUUACCCGGGCUUGAAAUGCAUCUGACCGGCCUUGAAAGAGGCACUCCCUUCGGGGCAGAUGUGUAGGUGCUGCAUGGUUGUCGUCAGCUCGUGCCGUGAGGUGUCGGCUUAAGUGCCAUAACGAGCGCAACCCUCAUCAUUAGUUACCAUCAGGUAAGGCUGGGGACUCUAAUGAGACUGCCAUCGUAAGAUGUGAGGAAGGUGGGGAUGACGUCAAAUCAGCACGGCCCUUACGUCCGGGGCGACACACGUGUUACAAUGGGUGGUACAAAGGGCAGCUACCUGGCGACAGGAUGCUAAUCUCGAAAACCGCUCUCAGUUCGGAUCGGAGUCUGCAACUCGACUCCGUGAAGCUGGAUUCGCUAGUAAUCGCGCAUCAGCCACGGCGCGGUGAAUACGUUCCCGGGCCUU